GUUAAUCUCUAACAGAAAUUGAGGACUAAUCAUUUUUUCCAGAUCCCAAAACAGAAAAUCAAGAAAUUCUCUCAAAUCCUCAAGAACCUCUCUUCAACUUUUGGCUUUGAACAUUGCUUCUUCUUGCGGAAACUCGAUUCCAAUCACCAAUACAAGUGCAUAUGAGGAUCUGUUGAAGGACUUUGGGAGCAAGAACCAGUUGGAAUCGUAACUGUCAUGAGCUUGGAGCUGCACAAAACAGUUGGAUCAUUCGCUGAAAUUAAGCACAAUUGAACCGUGAUUUUCACUUCAUCCAUCGAUUGGAGCAUAAACGCGUUUCUGUUUUCAUCUAUGGGACUCUGAAAUCAACGUUUCCACGGCUGUUGUUCAUCAAAGGUACCCUUUAGUCGCUCAGUUCUCUUAAGAACUCGCUUUGCUUUGCUUAAAUAGCAACUUGCAUUGAGGGGCUAAAAAGGAGUAGAGAUUUGGCAAAAGGUGAAGUUGACCUACGAGUUGGCAAUGGAGCAAAGGUUGUUGCUUUAGCUGUAGGAACAUAUGUAUUGACUUUACCUAAAGGUUGAUGCAUGUUAUGGGUUCUUUCUUCUCUUCAUACAAGACUAAGGGUUACUCCAUAUAUUUAUAGAUUUAGGUUAGCUUACUCCCUAAGCCAAAGCUCAAAGCUAUAAAGGCCCAAAAUAGUUAACACUACUAAAAAUAGGCCUAAGUUGAAAUCUUGUAUGAAGCAACAUGCUUCGACACUUCAACACACUAAUACAACUCAACACACUAGGUGAUUCGACACUUCACUGUUCUAUCGAGCAACCUGCUUUGAUACAAGGAAUUAUAACUCAACAAAACUAUAAAUCAAGACAAACACUUGAUCUGCUAUAAGUGUAGAUAAAUGAUAAGAUUCUGAUGUCAAUCCAUGAAGGUGAAAGUGUUCACCCCUAG